UAAAAAAUCAGAGUAUCUAUUCGAUUGAUGUGGUACUCUAUCGGAUCUCCUUAAAAAUAUUUCUAUAAUAGAUUUCGAAUUUGAUCUAAUCAAGUCCGACUCUAUGGGUUUACUAGAUUGUGUUGGUUCUUCUACCGAUCGAACUUUAUCAAGUUCAAUAUUUGAGGCAUUAGUUCCUUCACCAAGAAACUUCUUUUCUAAAAAAACUGCC
rnacentral:lncRNA from 1 species